UGGGAAGCUCUGCCGUAAGAACGCAGAUUUGUUUGAGGUCUUCUAGGAGCUCACAGCUGACUUAGGAAGGCUCAAUGUGCAUAGGUAGCUAGUGUGGCUCUCAGACUACAUGCCUUGGUGGGCACAAGAUGUAUGACCUUAUUUUUCCUGUAACUCAGUUCAAUUCCUGUUUGCAGCUCCAAAUGCUGGCAUGGUGGAAGCUACAUCUCUGACGAUGCAGAGCCUCCCUCACUCCCUCUUGGUGCAAUAAGCCAGUCCAGAAAAUGAUGAUGCUUCAGAAAUUCUUCAAGCUCCAGGACAGAUUUGCUAACACUUACACAGAAGUGAUUUCCUUACUAAGAGAGAUGGUGCUCAUGAACUUGGGAACAGUGAGGAACGUCUGGAUUGAAACGUCUUUACCUUCUUUUCUCACUAUAUUUUCAGAAAAAUGGCAUGGGGUCAGUUAAAGGUUUCUUUCCUAUUCCUACAUUAUCUCUCUCAUCCAGUGUAUCUUCUCAAUGGGAAUUUUUCAAGGGGAGGGGGACUUAGUGGGAAAGAGCUCUUACUGGGAAAAAUCUAUCUCCCCUACUUUCAAGAAGAGGGUUAUAUGCCUUCCUGAGCUCAUCCUGCCAAUUUCUGUCCAGGGUCCCUUUGAUCUCUUCUUACCGCCUUACGUGGUUGUAGGAAGGAUU
rnacentral:lncRNA from 9 species